rnacentral:rRNA from 1 species
ACUCCUACGGGAGGCAGCAGUGGGAAUUUUGGACAAUGGGCGAAAGCCUGAUCCAGCAAUGCCGCGUGUGCGAAGAAGGCCUUCGGGUUGUAAAGCACUUUUGUUAGGGAAGAAAUCUUCCGGGCCAAUACCCGUCGGUGAUGACGGUACCUUUCGAAUAAGCACCGGCUAACUACGUGCCAGCAGCCGCGGUAAUACGUAGGGUGCAAGCGUUAAUCGGAAUUACUGGGCGUAAAGCGUGCGCAGGCGGCACUACAAGACAGAUGUGAAAUCCCGGC